rnacentral:rRNA from 1 species
UACGGGGGGGGGCAAGCGUUGUUCGGAAUUACUGGGCGUAAAGGGCUCGUAGGUGGCCAACUAAGUCAGACGUGAAAUCCCUCGGCUUAACCGGGGAACUGCGUCUGAUACUGGAUGGCUUGAGUUUGGGAGAGGGAUGCGGAAUUCCAGGUGUAGCGGUGAAAUGCGUAGAUAUCUGGAGGAACACCGGUGGCGAAGGCGGUGCUCUGGGCCGGAACUGACGCUGAGGAGCGAAAGCGUGGGUAGCGAACAGG